rnacentral:snoRNA from 1 species
AAGACUAUACUUUGAGGGAUCAUUUCUAUAGUUUGUUAAAUAGGCUGAGACCUCUUGAUUCUGUGCCCCGGAGGGUUAUUUCUC